rnacentral:lncRNA from 1 species
GGCUGAUUAAUGAACCCCAAAAGAUGUCCACACCCUAAUCCUUGACACGUGUGAAUAUGUUUCCUCACAUGGCAGAAGGGACUUUGCAGGUACAAUCAAGUUAAGGACUUAGAGAUGAGGCGAUUAUCCUGCAUUAUGGGGGAGGGGGCAGUCCAAUGUAAUCAUCAGGUUCUUUACAAGAGGAAAGUAGGGAGUCAGGUCAGGGACAGACUGGAAGAUGCUAUGCUGCUGCCUCCACAGAUGGAGCAAGGCACCACAAGCCGAGAAAUGCAGAUGCCUCUAGAAGCUGGAAAGAGCUGAGAAAGGGUCUGGGUACAGUGGCUCUCACCUGUAAUCCCAGCACUUUGGGAAGCCGAGGCAGGAUGAUUGCUUGAGCCCAGGAGUUCACGACAAGCCUGGACAACACAGCGAGACCCUGUCUCAAAAAAACAAACAAACAAACAAAAAAACAGGCAAAGGGUGUCCAGGAGGAACAGUGUCUUUCCAACUCCUUGAUGUGAGCCCAGUGAGACCCAUUUUUGACUUCUGAUCUCUAGAACGGUGAGAUAAUAAAUGUGCACUGUUUUGAGCCACUGGUGUGUGGCGAUUUUUUUACAGCAGUAGUAGUAGACACUACAACAGCGAAGGUGGGUGAGGAUCCACCUCGUGGAUCAUCACAGAAGAGGAGGCAGCAUUCCUCACCGAUCCUGCGCACAGAGCUGGCUAACACAAAGCUAAAGGCCGAGGAAACAAAGACAGGCCUGAGGAGGACUGCCCUUCUGAACUGAAGCUGUCAGCAUGGCUUGGAAGAAAUUCUCUCUGGCAUCAUGUGGCUCCACAGACAACUCCUAACUUAAUUU